ACCUGGCCAGCUCAGUCAGUAGAGCAUGUGACUCUUGAUCUUGUGAUUGUGAGUUUGAGCCCCACGUUGGGUG
rnacentral:tRNA from 1 species